rnacentral:lncRNA from 1 species
GGUCAGAGGAAAAAGCUGAGCUGCAAUGCAGGCCCAACGGCAGCUUCAGUCACUCCACAGCGUUCUGAACCUAAAAGUUCAUUCUGAGUUGUCCCAAGACGGGCCAACAUUGAGAGUCUUGCACUGAACUGGCCUAAGAAUGUGCACAGUGGUUUCAAAUGGAACCGGAUCGGUUAUUGAACGCUGGCUGAAUCUGAAAGGGGUGAGGCUGAGGAGCUUCUGUGCAAGUCGUCAGUCCCUGAAGGGCUUGACAGCUGAAGACUGUCUGCUAACGACAUUCCAUAAUGAGGCAAGGAGUCCUUCAUGGAAGAGUCACGUGGGCAAUGCACAGCAGGUCUACCUCGCGCCGCAACAAUCGAAUCGUCUACCAUUACUGCCAACCAAAAGGACAUGAUUACUUUCUCUGACUGAAUUUCUGCAUGCAUACAUAAAAGCAAUUUGAAUAGAUAAAAAGCUGGACACUGUUUAUCAUGACCAACAAGCAUCAGGAUUGUUGUGUUCCUUUUGAGAAAAGGAGGCAGGUCUGAGACGGAGGGCAAAGGUCAAGGAAAAGUUAUCGGUAAUGUUAAUGUUUUUAAACAGAGAAAAUGAAUUGACACAUUAGUUCUGUGAUGAGGAUUUAAUAAAAUGGCAUUUGAGAUGCAUUUCUUGUACAAAUAUAGUGAGCAAAACAAUAUUCUAUAGGAGUAGGACUUUCCAUUUCUAAAGCGUUGGAUUAAAAUAGCUCUAAUUUAUUCAAGGAUUGAUGGACUUUCCUUCUCUCUUCUUCCUCCCACAGGUUUAUGGCCAUUUCAUUGCUCACUGUAUCUCCAUCAGAGGGUGACUGGGGUUGGGGGGCCUGGGUGUGGGGAGGAGAGGAAGGAAACUAGAAUCAGCAAUUUCCAUUACUUGCUAGCAACUCUGGUGAAUAUGUUUAGUGGGGGAAAUGCUGAAAAUCAGUUAUUUGGAUUAUCUGAGCCUGUCAACCAUCCAUGUUACACCCUCUUCCCAUUAGCAGAGACUCAUGAGAAUUGGCCAUAAUUGCAUUUGCAGUGACGGCAAUUGAAACAAGAUUGUUUUCAAUGACUGUGUGGUUCUGACUGAACUAUUAUUUUUUUUUCUCUUUCAAACAGCGUGUAUCCUAACAAGGCAUUUUGAGGAAAGAGACAGAGCCCACUGUAUUCUCACCUGUUACUUAUCUACCAGUCUUUCAGGAAAAGAUAGUUAAUGUAGACAGAACAAGACAAUUUUGUUUUAAUCUGGUAAUAGAAUAGCUUAUUAGGGAUGCCUAGUAGCAGAAAGGCAUAAUAUAAUCAGUAAAAGGACAUGAAGGUCACCUGGGUGGCUUGAUCGGUUAAGUGUCCCACUCUUGAUUUUGGCUCAAGGCAUGAAUCCGAUUCGAGCUCCGUGUCGGGCACAGUGAUGAUAGUCCGGAGCCUGCUUGGGGUUCUCUCUCUCUCCCUCUCUCUGCCCCUCCCCUGCUCUCUCUCAAUAAAUAAACAAACAAACAAGCAAACACACAAACACACACACACACACAUGGUGAGUGAGAAAGAGAGAGAGAGACAGAGCAGGGAAGGGACAGAGAGAGAAGGAGAGUGAGAGAAUCCCAACCAGGGUCUGCACUGUCAGCACAGGGCCUGUACUGUCAGCACAGGGCCUGUCUCAGGACUCCCAACUCGCCAACCGUGAAAUCAUGACCUGAGCCAAAAUCAAGAGUCAGAAGCUUAACCAAGUGAGUCACCCAAGCGCCCUUCAAUAAAUAUUUUGAAUAAAUAGUUGUUGAAUUCAAAAUAAUUGAAUAUUUUCAUAAUGCCAGUGUUAUAACUCUAUCUUUAAAAUCUCUGUGUUGUGACUGUUCAUACACUGGGUUUUAACCAAGUCACUGCCAAGAUGAAUGGUUUUCUCUUGGAAUUACAAUGCUGUGUCGGAAAAACCUUAGAAUAAAAUUCAAAAGAGUAUGGUUCUGAGUCAGACCACCACUUAUUUCAUUUAGUGAUUUUUGAGACAAAUCCCACAGACUCUGUGUCAGUUCAGCUAUCAAGUGAAUAUACAAGGACAAAUCCUAUGCUUAAUGUUUUAUACAUAUUUUUGUAUUCAUGAUUUUACCUUGACACUGAUGUUAACAAGCUAUUGAAGGGUUUCAUUGGUAUCAAACACAACUGAAUCUUGACCUAACUAUAGAUUGACUGACGUUAAGUAAGCUAAAUGGUCUCCUCAAGAUUCUAUGCCUACGUCUUCAUUUUAAAAUGAGUUCAUAUACUUAUAGUUCAUUUCUCAUCAGAUUGCUGUGAAGUCAAAAGUGAAAAAGCAUGUAAAGUGCCUUGCACAAAGCCUUCAUAUAAAAGGGAGUUAUCUUCAAGUCUCAGCUAUCCCUUUAACAAGGCUCACUCUGCUUUUCUCUUUUUUCCAAGGAAAAACACACGUUGUAAAAUAAGCAUUCUUCAAAGACAACCUGAAGACGUCUGGGAAUUCCAAAGGCUGAAAAUUCCAUGAGUUCAUAGAAGCUUUCACUAAUUCCACAGAUUUAAAGACAAAAGAGAGAGAGUCAACUGUGUGCCCAAACUCAUUUCUGAUGAUUUCUUCCAUCCUACCCUUUCUGCCUCUCUGGGGGUGGCUGUGCCUGUAAAAAACAUUGAAGUUGUCAGGAACAGAGUCUGCUUUCAAGACUGGAAUGUCAGAGUAGAGACUUCUGUUCCUCAGACCAGAAGAGACUUGAUUUGGUAAGAGUUUCCAGGUCUGAAAGGAGACAGAGCUGGGACAUGGGAACUGAUACAGAUAAACAGCACAAACACCUUGAGAGAGUGAUAUAUCAAGAGAGACUAGAAUAGGACAAGAACAAGAUCAUGACACAAGAUGAGAUAAGAAACCAGAAGACCCUGUCUAAAAGCUCUAAUGUGUGUUGCAACCAGAGGUUGACCAUAUCCCACGAAAUUCCACGUUACAUAAUUGCAAUGGGUAAUGGGCGCUUCCUUGUAAAAAGGAGAGAUUUGUUUUCCCUUUUAUGGCUAAAGUAAAAAGCAUGAGAAGUAGCCCCAUUA